UAGCUAAUACCGCAUACGCCCUACGGGGGAAAGCAGGGGAUCGCAAGACCUUGCACUAUUGGAGCGGCCGAUGUCGGAUUAGGUAGUUGGUGGGGUAACGGCUCACCAAGGCGACGAUCCGUAGCUGGUUUGAGAGGACGACCAGCCACACUGGGACUGAGACACGGCCCAGACUCCUACGGGAGGCAGCAGUGGGGAAUUUUGGACAAUGGGGGAAACCCUGAUCCAGCCAUCCCGCGUGUGCGAUGAAGGCCUUCGGGUUGUAAAGCACUUUUGGCAGGAAAGAAACGUCCUGGGCUAAUACCCCGUGAAACUGACGGUACCUGCAGAAUAAGCACCGGCUAACUACGUGCCAGCAGCCGCGGUAAUACGUAGGGUGCAAGCGUUAAUCGGAAUUACUGGGCGUAAAGCGUGCGCAGGCGGUUCGGAAAGAAAGAUGUGAAAUCCCCGAGCUUAACUUUGGAACUGCAUUUUUAACUGCCGAGCUAGAGUGUGUCAGAGGGAGGUGGAAUUCCGCGUGUAGCAGUGAAA
rnacentral:rRNA from 1 species